CCUGGCGGCACUAGCGCGGUGGUCCCACCUGACCCCAUGCCGAACUCAGAAGUGAAACGACGUAGCGCCGAUGGUAGUGUGGGGUCUCCCCAUGUGAGAGUAGGGAACUGCCAGGC
rnacentral:rRNA from 1 species